GAAGGCUUGAAUGAAGGGUUGGACGAGGGGUAAGCUGUCUCCAUUGCAUGGCUUGAAUUUAACUUUUGAGUGAAAAGGCUCAAAUUGUUUAGUGGGACGAUAAGACCCUAUAAAACUUAAUAUAGGUUUAACUUGAUUCGCAAUUAUGGGUGAAAAGGUGUUUAGUUCGGCCUAUAUUUUGUUGGGGAGAUGUAGAUAUAAUGUGUAACUGUCUGUUGAAUUUAAUAGUUAUGAUUAGUGUGUGAUCCUUCAUUUGGGGAUUAGGAGAAUAAGUUACUUUAGGGAUAACAGCGUGAUUUUCUUUGAGAGUUCUUAUCGACAAGAGUAGUUGCGACCUCGAUGUUGAAUUAAAGUUUCAGCUAGGUGUAGCCGUUUAGCUGGUGGGUCUGUUCGCACCCUUAAAA
rnacentral:rRNA from 1 species